rnacentral:lncRNA from 1 species
GAAGAGGCCUGCAUUUUACGGCGGAUAAAAAUUAUAGUAAUAAUUAAUAAUAAAAAAAUAUUAAAAUUUUUUUUGUGUAUCUUACUUGAUAUAUUCAUCAAAUGUCAUGGCGGAAAAGAAAAAUGGAAGCGCAUUAGUAAGAGAGAGGGAGGGAGGGAGCGAGGGAAGCAAAAGAUGAGAGAUAGAUAAUUGAUGAAUAGAUUAAAGAUAAAAAAUUAAAAGUCUUGUGAAGGAAAGAAAAAUGGCCAUAAUGAAUAAUUAGAUAUAGAGAGGUUAGGAUUGUAAGAUGAUAGUGAGAUCAUUUAAGCAUACUAAUUGAAAGUUUGGUAGUAGAAUCGUUUGCAUUAAUUGAAAGUAUAGUGGAUGGAAUGAAAAGGGUUAUAAUGAAUAAUUAUAAAUAGAAACGAUAGAAUUGUAGAUGAUAGUGGGACCAUUUAAAUAUAUUAAUUGAAAGUUCUGUUAGUGGAACCAUUUAAAUAUAUUAAUUGAAUAUUUUGUUAAUGAAACUGUUAAAAUGUACAUUGAAAGUUUAGUGAGGGAAAGAAGAAGAGUCACAUUCUAGUGAGAGUGAAGGAAAACUUACCAUGUGGCAACAAACAUUGGGAAUUCAUGUAAGUUAAUAGACAUUGAAAGUUUAGUGAGGGAAAGAAGAAGAGUCACAUUCUAGUGAGGGUGAAUGAAAACUUAUCAUGUGGCAACAAAUAUUGGGAAUUCAUCUAAGUUAAUAGAUUUUGUAUGAAUACGAGAUUCAUAUUAUCUCUCCUUACAAUUUAGAUUAGAAAAUAAAAUUUUAUUCAUUCCAACUAUUAUAUUAUUUUUAAAAUGUCAUUUAAAUACUAGUGUAGAGUUAUUAUGUUAUCGAAAAUAUAAAAAAAAAAAUUGAUGCUUCCUAGACCUUUGGAUCAAAAAUUAUACAAUUGGGAUGAUUGCAGUCCCUCCUAGGAUUAAGCAGUACCUCUAGAAUUAAGUGAUCCUCACAGAGUAAUAGUGUUAAUUCAAAGAUUAGAAAUGAUCAAAGGGGUUGAUUUAAGGGCAAAAAGUCAAAAACACAGGAUCCUCUAUAUUUCUGAUAGUAUAGUAGCUUUGCUCCAAAUACUAA